rnacentral:rRNA from 1 species
UUAGUGGCGACGGGUGAGUAACACGUGGGCAAUCUGCCCUUCACUCUGGGACAAGCCCUGGAAACGGGGUCUAAUACCGGAUAACACCCCCCAUCGCAUGGUGGGGGGUUAAAAGCUCCGGCGGUGAAGGAUGAGCCCGCGGCCUAUCAGCUUGUUGGUGGGGUGAUGGCCUACCAAGGCGACGACGGGUAGCCGGCCUGAGAGGGCGACCGGCCACACUGGGACUGAGACACGGCCCAGACUCCUACGGGAGGCAGCAGUGGGGAAUAUUGCACAAUGGGCGAAAGCCUGAUGCAGCGACGCCGCGUGAGGGAUGACGGCCUUCGGGUUGUAAACCUCUUUCAGCAGGGAAGAAGCGAAAGUGACGGUACCUGCAGAAGAAGCGCCGGCUAACUACGUGCCAGCAGCCGCGGUAAUACGUAGGGCGCAAGCGUUGUCCGGAAUUAUUGGGCGUAAAGAGCUCGUAGGCGGCUUGUCACGUCGGAUGUGAAAGCCCGGGGCUUAACCCCGGGUCUGCAUUCGAUACGGGCUAGCUAGAGUGUGGUAGGGGAGAUCGGAAUUCCUGGUGUAGCGGUGAAAUGCGCAGAUAUCAGGAGGAACACCGGUGGCGAAGGCGGAUCUCUGGGCCAUUACUGACGCUGAGGAGCGAAAGCGUGGGGAGCGAACAGGAUUAGAUACCCUGGUAGUCCACGCCGUAAACGUUGGGAACUAGGUGUUGGCGACAUUCCACGUCGUCGGUGCCGCAGCUAACGCAUUAAGUUCCCCGCCUGGGGAGUACGCCGCAGGCUA